UUUUUAAUCAUCCUCGAUCUAAGGAACAAUAAAAGCUAGAAAGCUUAAAUUAAGCAUGCAGGUUCCAAAGACAUGUUGCCAAGCUUAAGUAUGAAAUUUUCAAAAAUACCUUAAGCAAGUGAAAUUACACUUUAUAUGGCAGAUGAUAGUUUCCAUAAUCUGGUCUAGGAAGGAUAUCAAUUGUGUCUAUUAGAACUAGAUCAAAUGCAAUUUCUGGUGUUUUGGUAAUGGUGUCUGUUUUUGUGGUCUGUAAUUUGUAACCAGUAAUACAUUUUUGUAAUUAUUUCUCGGUGCCCUAGAAAUUCCUGACAACCUUCAGAAGAAACGUCAACAAAUUUUUAAAAUUCGUCGUCUUUUUUCCUAAAAUAUAACUAUGUCAAAAUUUGGAACGGACUUGGUUUGGUAAUUUAAAGUCGACUGUUUUAAAUUUUACGUAGAAGUCUGUAUAUGUGGCAAUACCAGUUAAGUUCCACCUGACCAUUGCCUGUGGUGAGAUCCCUCGCGACUACAGAACUGCUUGAAAGUUCCUGAUGUAAAAGCGGUACCCCAUCACUAAUGAUGCUUUCCAAGAACUGCUGCUUGUUUUCCGAACUUUUUCACUACUCCCUCGGUUUCCGUUGACUUUGUAGAUUAAAGCCAAAUAAAUAUGGAAAAUUUAUCCACAACAGCCAAAUUGUGGGUAUAUCGUUUAUUCGUA